rnacentral:rRNA from 1 species
AACGAACGCUGGCGGCGUGCUUAACACAUGCAAGUCGAACGGGUUUAAUGGAUGUAGCAAUACAUUCAUUAAAUUAGUGGCGCACGGGUGAGUAACACGUAGGUAACCUACCCUUCAGUGGGGGACAACAGAGGGAAACUUCUGCUAAUACCGCAUACGAUCACGGACUGGGAUGUUCGUGGUGAAAGGAUUUAUUCGCUGAGGGAUGGGCCUGCGGCCUAUCAGGUAGUUGGUGAGGUAAUGGCUCACCAAGCCUGCGACGGGUAGCCGGACUGAGAGGUCGAUCGGCCACACUGGAACUGAGACACGGUCCAGACUCCUACGGGAGGCAGCAGUGGGGAAUAUUGCACAAUGGGGGAAACCCUGAUGCAGCGACGCCGCGUGGAGGAUGACGGCCUUCGGGUUGUAAACUCCUUUUGUUCAGGGACAAUGGUGAUGGUACCUGACGAAUAAGCCACGGCUAACUCUGUGCCAGCAGCCGCGGUAAGCUGUAGU